rnacentral:rRNA from 1 species
UACAGAGGGUGCAAGCAUUAAUCGGAUUUAUUGGGCGUAAAGAGCGCGUAGGCGGGUCUUUUUAAGUCAGAUGUGAAAUCCCCAGGCUCAACCUGGGAACAGCAUUUGAAACUGAAGAUCUUGAGGGUAGUCGGAGAAAAUGGAAUUCCACGUGUAGCGGUGAAAUGCGUAGAUAUGUGGAAGAACACCGGUGGCGAAAGGCGAUUUUCUAGAUUAUACCUGACGCUGAGGCGCGAAAGCAAGGGGAUCAAAACAGG